rnacentral:misc_RNA from 1 species
UACAGAGGCCUCAAGCGUUGUUCGGAAUUAUUGGGCGUAAAGCGGAUGUAGGUGGUUUCGCAAGUCAGAUGUGAAAGCCCUGGGCUCAACCCAGGAAGUGCGUCUGAUACUGCGUUGCUAGAGUGCGGUAGAGGAGAGUGGAAUUCCAGGUGUAGGGGUGAAAUCCGUAGAUAUCUGGAGGAAUACCAAUGGCGAAGGCAGCUCUCUGGUCCGUAACUGACACUCAGAUCCGAAAGCGUGGGGAGCAAACAGG